rnacentral:tRNA from 1 species
GCCGGUGUAGCUCAACGGUAGAGCAGCUAAAUUCGUGAUUGGCAGAUGAAGUGUUCAAUUCCUUCCGCCGGCUCCA